rnacentral:rRNA from 1 species
AGGACGAACGCUGGCGGCGUGCUUAACACAUGCAAGUCGAGCGGAAAGGCCCUUCGGGGUACUCGAGCGGCGAACGGGUGAGUAACACGUGAGUAACCUGCCCCUAGCUCUGGGAUAGCUCCGGGAAACCGGGAUUAAUACCAGAUACGACCACUUUAGACAUCUGUCGUGGUGGAAAGGAUUCCGGCUAGGGAUGGGCUCGCGGCCUAUCAGCUUGUUGGUGGGGUAACGGCCUACCAAGGCGACGACGGGUAGCCGGCCUGAGAGGGCGACCGGCCACACUGGGACUGAGACACGGCCCAGACUCCUACGGGAGGCAGCAGUGGGGAUAUUGCGCAAUGGGCGAAAGCCUGACGCAGCGACGCCGCGUGGGGGAUGAAGGCCUUCGGGUUGUAAACCCCGUUUCAGCAGGGACGAAGCGAAAGUGACGGUACCUGCAGAAGAAGCGCCGGCUAACUACGUGCCAGCAGCCGC